UAUUCUGAGUAGGAGAUUGGCACUCAGAGACUGACUCAAAGGGUCCUCCAGCAAAACUUAAGUCAGCGUUCUUUCAACAUCAGUAAAAUGGAUUUAGAAGACAACUAUGCUGAUGCGUUGGAUCCAGGGAAGUUAAUACAAUGUCCAUAUGAUUGCUAUCAUCAAAUCCGAGCCUGUCGGUUUCCCUAUCAUCUUAUAAAGUGCAGGAAGAACCACCCUGAUAUUGCAGAGCAGCUAGCCACACACCCCUUUAAUGC